CACGUAGGGUGCGAGCGUUGUCCGGAAUUAUUGGGCGUAAAGAGCUCGUAGGCGGUGUGUCGCCGUCGGACCGUGAAACCUGACAGCUUAACUGUGGGCUUGCGGUCGAUACGGGCAUCACUGGAGUUCGGGCAGGGGAGACUGGAAUUCCUGGUGAUAGCGGUGAAAUGCGCAGAUAUCAGGAGGAACACCGGUGGCGAAGGCGGGUCUCUGG
rnacentral:rRNA from 1 species